UACAGAGGUCCCGAGCGUUGUUCGGAUUCACUGGGCGUAAAGGGUGCGCAGGUGGUUUGGCAAGUUUGAUGUGAAAGCCCCGGGCUUAACCCGGGAAUGGCAUUGAAUACUGUUUGAACUGGAGGAUUGGAGGGGGGACUGGAAUUCUUGGUGUAGCAGUGAAAUGCGUAGAUAUCAAGAGGAACACCGGUGGCGAAGGCGGGUCUCUGGGCCGAUACUGACGCUGAGGAGCGAAAGCGUGGGGAGCGAACAGG
rnacentral:rRNA from 1 species